rnacentral:rRNA from 1 species
AUACGGAGGGGACUAGCGUUGUUCGGAUUUACUGGGCGUAAAGGGCGCGUAGGCGGUAUGUCAUGUCAGGGGUGAAAGGCCUGGGCUCAACCCAGGAACUGCCUUUGAAACUGGCAAACUAGAGUCCGAUAGAGGAUGGCGGAAUUCCCAGUGUAGAGGUGAAAUUCGUAGAUAUUGGGAAGAACACCAGUGGCGAAGGCGGCCAUCUGGAUCGGCACUGACGCUGAGGCGCGAAAGCGUGGGGAGCAAACAGGAUUAGAAACCCCAGUAGUCC